rnacentral:misc_RNA from 1 species
CAAGUUCACCUACAACUGCGAUGGACACACCUUCAACUACCUCGUCGAGGACGGAUUCACAUAUUGCGUGGUUGCGGUUGAAUCAGCUGGUAGACAAAUACCAACAGCCUUCCUGGAAAGGGUCAAGGAAGAUUUUAACAAAAGAUAUGCAGGAGGAAAAGCUAUGACUGCUGGGGCCAACAGCCUUAACCGUGAAUUUGGG